rnacentral:tRNA from 1 species
ACCUAGUUGGCUCAGUUAGUAGAGCACGUGACUCUUGAUCUCAGGGUUGUGAGUUCAAGCCCCACACUGGGCU